UGCCAUAGCUCAGUUGGUAGAGCAAAGGACUGACAAUCCUUGUGUCCCCGGUUCGAUUCCUGGUGGUA
rnacentral:tRNA from 1 species